rnacentral:tRNA from 1 species
GGUAAGAUAAGCUAAAUUAUUAAGCUGUCGGGUUCAUACCCCGAAUAUGAAACGGUUGUAUCUCUUAUCA